AAUGAACGCUGGCGGCAGGCCUAACACAUGCAAGUCGAACGAAGCCUUCGGGCUUAGUGGCGGACGGGUGAGUAACGCGUGGGAACGUGCCCUUUGCUUCGGAAUAGCCCCGGGAAACUGGGAGUAAUACCGAAUGUGCCCUACGGGGGAAAGAUUUAUCGGCAAAGGAUCGGCCCGCGUUGGAUUAGGUAGUUGGUGGGGUAAUGGCCUACCAAGCCGACGAUCCAUAGCUGGUUUGAGAGGAUGAUCAGCCACACUGGGACUGAGACACGGCCCAGACUCCUACGGGAGGCAGCAGUGGGGAAUCUUAGACAAUGGGGGAAACCCUGAUCUAGCCAUGCCGCGUGAUCGAUGAAGGCCUUAGGGUUGUAAAGAUCUUUCAGGUGGGAAGAUAAUGACUGUACCACCAGAAGAAGCCCCGGCUAACUCCGUGCCAGCCGCCGCCGUAACAC
rnacentral:rRNA from 1 species